rnacentral:miRNA from 1 species
GAGACUGUCGAUCAUUUACU